UACGGAGGGAGCUAGCGUUGUUCGGAAUUACUGGGCGUAAAGCGCGCGUAGGCGGCUUUGUAAGUUAGAGGUGAAAGCCCGGAGCUCAACUCCGGAACUGCCUUUAAAACUGCAUCGCUUGAAUCCGGGAGAGGUGAGUGGAAUUCCGAGUGUAGAGGUGAAAUUCGUAGAUAUUCGCAAGAACACCAGUGGCGAAGGCGGCUUACUGGUCCGGUUCUGACGCUGAGGCGCGAAAGCGUGGGGAGCAAACAGG
rnacentral:rRNA from 1 species